AAAGGGGCAGAGAUGGCGAAGUUGGACGGUCUGGAAAGCAGAGACCAGCGGGGCUGACUGCUUGGGAGCACCAAGUCUCGGGACAGUGCCUCUCGGUGGGGGGGGGGGGCACUGAGAAGAGAACAACUACCUGUUUCAGCACCGGGGCUCAGGACAGCUCCCAGUGGGCUCCGUUUAGGCGCCAGGACCCUGGACAGCUCCUCCAGCCUCACGGUUUUUGGCUUUGUUGUUCCCGCGGCUUGGAAUGCACUCCCCCCACCUCCACCCAGAGACCCCUGCAACUGAGCCUGCCUUCUUCUGCAAGCUCCAUUUCAUCAAGGGAAACAAUCCUGAUUGCCUCAUCAUUUCCCAUGUGAAGUCUGUACUGACAUUCUCAGAGACCUGGGAUAUUGUGUCUCCAGCACAUAGUCCAAUUAUUUUCAAGUUAUCUAGUGAUAUGUCUAUUUGUCUCCCUGUUACCCUGUGAGCUCCAUGAGGGCAGAAACAAUGUUUGUAUUUUCACGGCUGCAUCCCCAGUGCCUGGUCCAGGGCCCAGCACACCGCAGGCAUACCAUAUACCAUAUCAUAAUCAAUAAAGCCACCAAAGAAUAAA